ensembl:snoRNA SNORD33 Small nucleolar RNA Z195/SNORD33/SNORD32 family
AUUGUCUAUGAUGAUUCUUACAGUAGUUUUUGAGUUUAACUGACUUUGAGAAUACUUUACAUGCACUACCAUCUGAGACUUU